AUGUCAGCCAUGAUAACAGCGCCGCUCCAUGCAAUCCCAUCCUUCUCUCCAGAAUGACGUCAUAAUCAGGUGAUCGCGUGUUGACGAAACAAACUUUCUCAUUGGUGGGGCAAUUCUCGAUUAACGCAGCAACAGCCUUAUUUAUGUUCGUAAGACAUUUUUAUUGGCUAGGUUAGGCUGGAAUUCCCCAGGAGUGGGCGUGGCGUUUCAGACAGAUCACCUUUAAAGAUGUAGAUGUAUCUACAGAGCUUUCAUUAGCCAAUUUACUAGUACCGCCUAUCGUGUGAAAUGGACAUUUCGUCUCUCAAGAAAUUCUUUUUAAACUACCAACAAUAUUUUGAAAGAAAAGAAGUCUUAUUAGAUUUCUGUGGCAUAAUCUGGAGCAAGUUGUUUGAACAGAUACAAAUAUGCCUCGACGCAGCCAACCGAGUUCACAGGUCAGCGCAGGAGCCAACCGCCUGGGCUACUCCUGGAGUGGGAUCAAAUCCGGUACUGCCGCGGCUGGUCACAUGUCAUCCACCGCCAAGAGUCACGGCGGGUCAGUUCCAAAGGGAGGUCUCGUCUCCGGGUUGCAGUCCACCGGAACCAAGGGCAACUACCGCAAGUAGGAGAGUGACUUGUCCGCCCAAGACGUGAUUCGACAUUGUUCAUGGAGGCUAUUAAACAAGAGUUGAAUCAUCUGCAAAUUCAUCUUCGAUCUGUAGCAAAUAGAAGUAGUCCAUAGAUCUUGUUUCUUGCUUGAUGUUUUCUGCCAUUCUAAAUGAUGCCAUUCAAUUAUGUCGUAACAGUCUGUAGGUACUGUCACAGAAAGUAAUUAAUAAUUGCAAUUACUGAAUUCCGACCUUCAGGGCCUUCAGUAACACUAGUGCUACAUAUCUGUUAAAUUUCAUAUUAAAUUGAAUGAAUAAUUAAUCGUACGCUUGAUUUUCACGAUCGAUUUGUAGUCCAUGCAAUCAAAACUGCCACUUACAUUGUAAUCAAAUAAAAUUAAAUUAAGGUGCAAUAGAAUAUUUCAUUAAACAUGUUCAACGACAUGAAGGGGGGGGGGGGGAUUCCAACGGCCAUUCUGUUCAUAGGAAAUAUAAACUAAGAAAGAUGUUGAUGAUAAAUUAUUGAUUACGAUCCUGAGAUUUUUACAAGGCUUGGAGUCUUGGACUCUAUUCUGAACAUCUAUUCAUUUGGUAAAAACAAAUAUUAUAUCAAAGCAAAAUAUCAACGAAGGAUCGAGAUUCUUUUGGAUUACUAUUUGAUUCAAUAAGCUCUUAAACAUUAUAAAUGAUUAUAACCCGCCGAGGAGAGAGCAUAUAGAUCUUUUCAUUGAUAUGCUAAUUGUUUAAUUUUGUGAUAAAAAUGUUUGUUUUUAUCAUAAUACUUUAGAAAUAAAUAUUCGAAUAUGUUGUCUUGUAAUAUAUAUGGAAAACUUAUUUUCAUUGUUUUAUAAUUAAGAUAUAUUUUCUUUUUAAUAGUCUUUAUUGAUCAUUCAUUUAAAAAACAUACAAUCUGAUAAAAUAUUACAAAAAAUAACAGCUGCAUUAUGUGUCAAGCACACAUACCAAGGAUGAAACAUCUAUUCAUUUGGUAAAAACAAAUAUUAUAUCAAAGCAAAAUAUCAACGAAGGAUGAAACAUAACUAACCAUGACUUAGUUCACAUCUCAUUCAUACAUGUAUGUCAAUUGACAUUAUGCCAUGACUUUGCAGGGAUAGGUGUCGUGUGGGCGGUACCGGAGCGGCGGACGCGACAUCGGGACUGGCCCCUAUGGUUUCGGAGUGCUGCAGUUUGGGGUGUGUGGUUCCGGACGGCUGUUGCUUGGUUGAACGGGCGCAUUAGACUUUUGGUCGCAUAUCCGAUUGGGUUGGGUGGCUGGGAGGAGUGUGUUUCCCUGAGAGUGAUGGGUGUGACAAGCUUGUGCCAUGCCCAUUGCUCCCGGUGGAUACAUUUCUCUCGGCGCCUUUCUCGUCGUGUGUGCGACUGGUGGUUUUUUUGCGCCUGUCCAGCUAGGAAGUGGCUGUUUGGGACCGAGCAUUUCUGGGCUGUAGCGCUUCGGAGGUGUAGGGGUAUGUCUCGGAGUCGCGUCCGUUGCUCUGGUGUUGCCCAUUUCCAGACCUGUCCUCAAUUUUAAUUCUGAUUUUAAUUUGCAUUAUAUAUUUAUGAGUUAUCUUUUAUUAUUCUAACUUAAUUGGUUUGGAGGCUUAUGUAUGUCUGUAUCUUUAUGAUUUUUGUAUAUUGAUAGUUUACUUUGAAAUUUUCAUGUUGUUCAAAAUGGUCUUUGUAUAUAUCUUAUCUUACAUGUAUAUGUAACAAGAUCUUAACAAUGUAAAACAAUGUAAAUUUAGCCUUUGGGCUACCAUGAAUUGUUUUUUUUAAUAAAACCAUUUAUCUAUCUAUCUAUCUUUGAUAUUCCUUUUCAAAAGUGAAAGCUUUAUGGCGUUCCCAAUGUCGCUUUGUCUAUGAUUUGUUGAAUAUAUGCAAUAAACAGCCUCCUUAAAAAUAAA
rnacentral:lncRNA from 1 species